CGCUGGCGGCAGGCCUAACACAUGCAAGUCGAGCGCCCCGCAAGGGGAGCGGCGGACGGGUGAGUAACGCGUGGGAACGUGCCUCUUGCUACGGAAUAGCCUCGGGAAACUGGGAGUAAUACCGUAUGUGCCCUACGGGGGAAAGAUUUAUCGGCAAGAGAUCGGCCCGCGUUGGAUUAGGUAGUUGGUGGGGUAAUGGCCUACCAAGCCGACGAUCCAUAGCUGGUUUGAGAGGAUGAUCAGCCACACUGGGACUGAGACACGGCCCAGACUCCUACGGGAGGCAGCAGUGGGGAAUCUUAGACAAUGGGCGCAAGCCUGAUCUAGCCAUGCCGCGUGAGCGAUGAAGGCCUUAGGGUUGUAAAGCUCUUUCAGUGGGGAAGAUAAUGACUGUACCCACAGAAGAAGCCCCGGCUAACUCCGUG
rnacentral:rRNA from 1 species